rnacentral:rRNA from 1 species
GUUGGCGGCCACAGCGGCGGGGAAACNCCCGGUCUCGUUCGAUCCCGGAAGUUAAGCCCGCCAGCGAUCUGGACGGUACUGUCCUGCGGAAGCGGACGGGAACUCCAGGACGCCGCCAACC